rnacentral:rRNA from 1 species
AGCUACAGGCUUAACACAUGCAAGUCGAGGGGAAACGACAUCGAAAGCUUGCUUUUGAUGGGCGUCGACCGGCGCACGGGUGAGUAACGCGUAUCCAACCUGCCCACCACUUGGGGAUAACCUCGCGAAAGUAAGACUAAUACCCAAUGAUAUCUCUAGAAGACAUCUGAAAGAGAUUAAAGAUUUAUCGGUGAUGGAUGGGGAUGCGUCUGAUUAGCUUGUUGGCGGGGUAACGGCCCACCAAGGCUACGAUCAGUAGGGGUUCUGAGAGGAAGGUCCCCCACAUUGGAACUGAGACACGGUCCAAACUCCUACGGGAGGCAGCAGUGAGGAAUAUUGGUCAAUGGACGAGAGUCUGAACCAGCCAAGUAGCGUGCAGGAUGACGGCCCUAUGGGUUGUAAACUGCUUUUAUAAGGGAAUAAAGUGAGUCUCGUGAGGCUUUUUGCAUGUACCUUAUGAAUAAGGACCGGCUAAUUCCGUGCCAGCAGCCGCGGUAAUACGGAAGGUCCGGGCGUUAUCCGGAUUUAUUGGGUUUAAAGGGAGCGUA